rnacentral:lncRNA from 1 species
GGACUUGUAUUAUAUGAUUGAAUAAGAUUCAAUUUUUAUCCCUAUAAAAGGGACCUCCCCUAAGGUCCUAAAAUCAUCCAAGCCAGCCCCUCUCCACCCCAAGAGAACCUCCCAUGCCCUCUCUUCCUCCCUUUUUCUCUUCUCCUUAGGCAUCCCCAUGCCAUACUACUUGGGACAUUCAUCCCAAGUUUUGCACACACCGAAGGAGUUGGGCAGCCCUUCAUCUGCUGGUUAUUGAUCUCUCGUAGCACUACAAGGCAAGGAGAAAUGUU